GAGGUUCUGUUUCCUGAAUGUUAUAACACAUUUCUUUAUGUAUUAUUUGCAGAGUGAAGCCCUUUUUGAUUUGCAUCCAGUUGUAUCAUGACUGCAGUAAAGACAAAUCGUAUUACCUCAUGAAUAACUUUGGAGUGUAUUAUCCCUUGGAGUUCAUGUAAUGAAUGAGUGUCCACAUCAUCCAAGUGGGCAAAUAGUCGAUGUAUUAGACUUGCUUAAAAAGUCAAGAUUGGAUUUCAUGUAACUGAAAUACAUCUGGGAAUUAUAUUUCUGAUAUACGUUUAAAUGUGAAGAGAGCAGUUCCUAGUGUUUGCCUCCCUAAAGCCCCCCUACCUCGUGGUCUCAUAUGCUGCUUCAAGCAAGAAAAAUCUAUUGUGUACAAGGGGGUUGACUGGGGUCCUCAGGAAGAUGGCUUAGUAUCAAAUUUAUCUCACAGAAACAAAUGCUGCCAAGUGAUUGAUAUUAAUAAUGCAUUGAAAGCUGCAGCCUACAUCUGAUGUUUUCUUCUACUCUUGAGGAAAAGAAUUAUUGUAAACCUUUGAAUGUUCCUUUCGGUCCUCCAGUCAGAGUAAUCUUGAGGGCUUUUGAGGUACUCAAGGAAGGCUUACAGGAAUCUGGAAGAUACAGCCGUCAACUGGUGUCAAGAAUUGUGCUCUUUGCCCCGUGGAAAUGUUGUGGUUCACCCUGUGGAAACUGAUAAGGCAUUGGAAUCCACAUCAGGGAAUUGAAUGGACCAUUUGCUGACUUUAUAAAUCAGACAUCAGAAACUCAGAAAUGUCUACAUCUGCAUUCUGGAGAGACUUACAGAAGUACAUGCUUCACACAGAAGAGAAAAUUCUAACCAGUGACUGAAAGUCAGCAAACUCCUUUGAAGUUCAAAUAAAUCUUAGUGUUCAAUUCA
ensembl:lncRNA